CAACUAUUGUCUCUGUAUGAUUACAGUAUCCAUUUCAUGAAUGAAGGGCUAAUGUUAAUUGGUGGUGGGUAUAACUCUUUGUUAACCUUUUUGCUAUGAUGCUUGCUAUGCUUAUACAACAAUAAUUUGGUUUCAACUCAAUCAUGAGAUCUAAUUUAUAAUAUUGUGCUUUGCAAUAAAACUGUUAAAAGUUCAGUUAUCAUUUCCAUCAGUUGGUUUAACAUUAGGCCCUGUAAAUAACCAAGGGCAUUUUAUUUGCUACACAGUAUGCUAAGUAUUGUUUCCUAAGUAUAGUUUUACAAGUCAUAACUAAAAGUGUGUCAUGCGUAUAAUUUGAGGCAGUAACCUAAUGGCACCUCCAUGAAAGUUAGAUUGAUAUACAAAUUUUGGUUGAAAAAUAUCAUGAAACCCAAAAAGUUUUUGUUUUUGCCUAUACAUAUAAUUUAAAGUCAUUUUAUUUUUUUAAACAACUGAGUCCCAGUGACCAUAGCAUAACGUGAAUAAAAUAUAUUUCAAUGUAUUUUUUUUACUAUUUGUUUCUAUGCUCUAAACAAUGUGAUGACAUGGGGGGAAAAAUGAAAUAAAUAAAUGUUUUUAUUUUCCGGGUCUAGGAGGAUAUAGCGUGUAAUGACAGACAUUUAGUGUGUAAGAGCAUGUUUAUGUAACCCUUCUAUUAUGUUUUGAGUUAAUUUGACCCUAGGCUGUUUUAGCUUUAUAAAACAUUAUCCUAUGGUCUUUUGAUUUCAAAUGAAGUUAAAUUGCAAUUUCAGGGGCACUUCUAAAAUAUUUUGGAGCAUCCUCUGCCACUGGUCAGGAUGAGCCAACCACCUCCUCCGCUACACAUAUGUCUCCACAAAUAUCUGAUAUUGAGGAUGAAGACCUCUUUGCCUCUACUUCUACCCAGCAUGAGCUUUCAGAAAUGCCUGGAGCUGAACCCCCACUGAGCCCCACUGGCCCUCACAUCUGACUGACUGGAUUCGGACUGAGCUGGUUCACAGAGGACCAAGUAAAGUGCCACCUGGCUUUGUUUUCCGUAGGAAUGAGAGUAAUGGGAGAAGUUGCCACCACUAAUAUUUUAAUAAGACAUUAGUAAGUGGUGAAAAGAUGGCAAGAAGUUGGCUGAUUUCUUCAAUUAAGAACAACAGCCUCUUUUGCUUCUGCUGCAAAUUGUUCUCCAAGAGGAACAUCAAUUUAACAAGUGCAGGAAUGGCAAAUUGGAAACAUGCAUGCAAUGAUCUCACAUCAUAUGAAAACAGUUGUUAUAAUAAAAUAUUGCUGUUUGUGCAGAA